UUCAUUUUUUUAAUCUCAGGUUCGUCUCCUUCCCAGAAAUGCUUCAAGAAAUUCAUGUGUUUUGGAAUCCGAUGCCACCAUGUGAAUAUCUCGUUAAGGUAACCUUGGUCUCCUCCGUUGUAAGACACAACUUCAUUAAUGUUAUCCAUUAGUAACUGGAAUGUUGAAUUAGAUGGCUCAACCACCAUUAGACCAGAGUUGAAGAGCGUAGCAUUGUUUCCAGUUGCUGAUAUCUCAGGGAACUCGAAGAGGAAAUCAAUGUUUCUCAGGAUAAGCAUGUCUGCAUCGAUGAAGAUGAUCUUACUGUAUUCAGUCAGUUGCCAAAGACGAAACUUGCUGUAGUUCCAUUCGUUGUAGGCAUUUGGUACAGCAUUCGGGUUCCUGAUUCUUUGAAACAUUUGAAUCUUCCAUCCAGCAGCUACCAAGCCACUUUUAUGGUAUUCGCUUAUCGUUUCAUCAACAAGUAUGACCAGAUCACGAGUAGAGCCUGACAUUCGAAUGCUCUGUGCAGCUGCAAUGGCUCCACAGACAUAAAAUUGGGCAGAAUGCAAGAUAGUCGCGUAAGCUUCUUUCUUUGCACCUGCGGAGUAGAAAUUAUCUGCAGUUGAAAUAAACAUAAUCAGCUUAGGAGGGGAGAACUAGCUGAGACUGAAAACGAAGAAACUUGCUACUAACCUUUAGCUUGAAGAGGAACAGAAAGUUCACAGGAACCAACAGGAAGCUGUAACUUUUGUCUUAGCUGGUGAAGAUUAGGCUUAUACAGCCAUAUGUUUCCUUGACGGGCAACAAGUUCUUGACCCGUAAAAAGAUUCGGUAUUGGAAAGCAAUCAGAUACCAAAAUCACAUGAACAUUAUGAAGUCCUUUAGAAGAAGCCGCCACUCGAGCUGCUGCAAGUUGUAAAUGCAAGCGAGCCACAUCUCUAGACCAUUUUCCUGAUUUAUCACACGGAAGCUUGGCAAUUACAAGAUCAAUCCGAGGCUUGCCAGGAAUUUGAAUCAAAGGCAGAGAAGGACAAGUAGGGACUUCGAAUUCUUCAACUUCAUCAAUCCAUUCCGGGUAUAAAGAUUCCCAUGUUAUGUUCUUUGCAGCAUAAUCUAGAUGCAAAGCUACAUGAUCACAGUCAGAUUUCGUUACCUCCUUGAAUCGAUCAAUCUCGUUAUCGUUAAGAUUUAUAAGACCAAUUCCUUGAUACUCGCUUCUACCAAAUACGUGCUUCUCAACAAGAUUUGACAUAUGGUUCCAGUUGAUCUCAGCUGUAGCUACAUAGCGAGGAUCAGUAGUAAGACCAAAACUAGUUGGAAUUUCAGGAAUUUGUAGCGGUGGAUAACGAAAACGGUAGAUCGUGAACAAAGCUCCAAGCAUUAUACAAAUCAACACAAGUUUCAGAGUGUUGAACUUGACACCCUUCUCAAUUCUUUGAAAUCUCCUCCUACUUGUCUUCUCACUACACACAACAAAACAAACGAAUGAGUCAUUAUCUAUGUCAAUCCAACAGAUAGAUAAACAUAGAUCGCUUGUGAAACACAUUUCUGAAUCAAAAACAAAAUCGAAGAUCUGAUUUCCAGAAAAGUCAACCAUGUGUGUGAAGCUACUAAGUUAACUAAGAAUAGUACGUAGUGUUCAUGAAACUAGAGAAACUAAUGAAGAAUAAGAAGAAGAAGACGAAGACUAACUUUGAGAACGAGAGUCGAUGUCUUGACUCCAUGGGACUUGAGGAAGGUAUCAUCGUCUCCGUAAGACCAGGGUCGGUUUCGAGAAUUUCAUAAUCGCCUGGUAAACAACAAAAGACGAGACAUUUUAGGGAUUUGGGAAGGAGAAAUUAAUUUGAUUUUGGACCAAGGCACAAAACGGUGCGUAUUAGGAAAAUGAGAUUUUUAGAAGUCCGUGUUUUGCAAAACGAACCUUUACUUAUCAGGUAUUUGUUAUUUUAACCCCUACUCUAAUGUUUGAAUAAAUUUUAACCAGAAAACGAAAAUCACACACAGUAGUACGGUUUUACGCGGUGGAGGAAGAAUCAGCAGCGACGGUGGAGUUGGUCUGAGUCUCACCCCAAUGCCAAAGCAUACUCUCCCAGAAACAGAAAUCUUCAAAACAAGUCGUAAGUCUCUUAUCUUUGAUCUUAAUCCUCCAAUGUCCGUCUCUGUAAUUCGCUUUCUCAGCUUGUCUCCGAUCCCACUCAAGUUGCGCCUUUUGUUUCGAACUCAGUAGACAAAACCUCUGCAAUUUCUUAGGCAUCGCGUCGUGCACUCUCCACCAAGUUUUGUGUGCUUCAUCGCUCGCGAAUUGAUGGUAUCCAACGACAUUCCAAUUGCAAUCGUAGUCUCUGAAGCAUACCCAUGGUUUGUUGUAACCUAGGUAAUGAAGAACGUAGAGUAUCGGAGGAUCAGCUCCAAAUAGUCUCGUCUUAGAUUUCCUGUGCUUAGGUGUGUCUCCUUCCCAGAAAUGCUUCAAGAAAUUCAUGUGUUUUGGAAUCCGAUGCCACCAUGUGAAUAUCUCGUUAAGGUAACCUUGGUCUCCUCCAUUGUAGGAAUUGAUAUCGUUGAUGUGAUCCAUUAGUAACUGGAAUGUUGAAUUUGAUGGUUCAAUCACCAUUAGACCGGAGUUGAAGAGCGUACCGUCGUUUCCAGUUGU
rnacentral:lncRNA from 1 species